rnacentral:rRNA from 1 species
AUUGAACGCUGGCGGCAGGCCUAACACAUGCAAGUCGAACGAGUGGCGGACGGGUGAGUAAUGUCUGGGAAACUGCCUGAUGGAGGGGGAUAACUACUGGAAACGGUAGCUAAUACCGCAUACCAUCAGAUGUGCCCAGAUGGGAUUGGCUAGUUGGUGGGGUAACGGCUCACCAAGGCGACGAUCCCUAGCUGGUCUGAGCGGAUGACCAGCAACACUGGGACGUAGACACGGUCCAGACUCCUACGGGAGGCAGCAGUGGGGAAUAUUGCACAAUGGGCGAAAGCCUGAUGCAGCAAGGCCGCGUGUAUGAAGAAGGCCUUCGGGUUGUAAAGUACUUUAAGCGGGGAGGCGUUACCCGCAGAAGAAGCACCGGCUAACUCCGUGCCAGCCGCCGCGGUAAUAC